UUUUUUUUUUUUUAAAACAAUGUUAUAGUUGUUGGAACAAAGCCUUUAAUUUCAUCUUUGAAUUCUCUGCAACUAGAUGCAUCGUUGAGCUCUCAGCAAUUAUACGUCUUUCUGCAGCGAUGGGUGGUUGUCUCUCUGUCUCAGUGUCAUGUGAAAAAGUUGCGGAUAGUUUUUCUCAAUGGUUAUGUGUCAAAGCGAGCUAUAUUCACAACCUUGAGGAAAAUCUCAGAGAUUUGGAGACAGCCAUGGAAGAGUUGAAGGCAAGGAGAGAUGAUUUGUCAACAAGGGUGGACAAUGAGGAGAUGAAAGGUCUACGAAAGCUUUCUGAAGUCCAGAUUUUCUUCAUGAUGCUUUAGGAUGGAGCAAAAACAUCUAUUUAUAGGUGGGGAGAAGAACCUAGCUUCCUCAUCAAAUUUUGAUUACUUCCUCACCAAGACUUUCUUUCUGUCUUUCUUGGCAAGUUUUAUCUUUUAAACCAUCCAUCAAAAUUGAGUAAGUGACAAAUGUUUUGCUUAAGGUGACUCAUUUCAUUAGGAUAAAACAAGUGUGAAGUGUUCUAGAACAUUAAGUGCAUACGUUCUCUUAAGCAUCUUCCAUUAGACUUGUCAUUCAAGUCACUUUUCUCUUCUAGAACAUUUGCCACUUAUACUUUAGUUAAAACAUUAGGAAAUAAACUUAUUUAUUUACCAAUUUUAUUGGUUACCAAGUGUCAUUAAGUUUAACAAUUUCAAUAAGAAAUAAAUUACUAUAAGACCACAUCAUGGGAAAGAAAUAUCCAUUCAUAAACAUAUGUAUAUUUUUUACAUUCUCCCACUUGGUCGAUAGUAUAAUCUCUUAAAAUUUCUUUUUGAAAAUCAUAAGGUCGACUUUAUUUGUUAAACCUUUGCUUUUAUUUGGUUAUCAUAAUUGUCUUAGCUAAUCUAGCAAACAAUGAGAGUCAUGGCGGGCACAUAUUAUUUUGCAACAUGAAUCCUUCUAUGCACUACUACAUUCUUUACUAUCAUAGUUAGACCAUAAGUAGGAGUAUCAUAAUGGUCCCUUUUAUGUCUUAUUUAAAUACUUAUUAUGUUAUCAGUAAUCCAACAACGAUAAUGUGUAAACACUUUGGAAACAAAAUAUAAAAGAUUCAAAAGUCAUUAAGAGCUCAUAUAUUGUCAAAUAUAUGCUAAACAUAAUCAAACAACUUUAAUAGCUAUCCAUUAGACCCAUGAUUUCUAGGUGUUCUUUAAUGUCUUUGGAUGUAAAGCUUUCAUAAAUAUGUUUGUGACCAUAAGUUUUGUGCAUAUAUGCAUAAUGACAAACUUUUCUCUUUUAAAAUUUUACUUUUAUGACAUAUAUCAAUCUUAAUGUUCAUAUACUUGGAUCCUUUAAGAUAUCAUGUCUUACUUAAGAUUGAAUAUUUUACUAUCACAUAAUGAGUCGAGCACUUACGGUCUCAAACUCAAGGAUAAUUUUGCAAUCAUAAUUAACUUUAUAAAAGCCUCAUAAAAUUUUCACACACUCAGCCUUAUUGGACGCUUAAAGCAGUUACAAUUAUAAGCCUUUCCUUAGUAAGGUAUCUCAUUUGAUGAGAUACACAAUGCUAAAAUUGUAAUGCUUAGAACCAUUAUAUCCAUUAAAAUAUGAGUUUGAAAAUCCAACCACUUGUGGGUGUGUUGAUUUCUUAUAUGUGAUCAAGUGAUUUUUUGUUCCCUUUACAUAUCUCAAAAAUUAUUUUCAGCUUUCAUUACUUUAAGUUCCAUUUCAUUAUGCGGACAUUGCUUAAGAUUAAACUUACCACCUUUCUUCAUAGGAACAAUACUAGAAGAACGCAUUAUCAUGCCAUAUCUCUCAAGAACUUUGUCAAUAUAUGCUUUCUGAGACAAAUCUAAACUUCAAACUGUUAUGUCAUGGAAAAUUUCAAUCCCAAUCACAGGAGUUGCCUCGCCCAUUUCUUUCAUUACAAAGUCUUAACAGAGAUAAUUAUUGGUCUCAUUUAAUAUACCAAGAUCACUUCUUGCCAAUAAGAUAUCAUCAACAUACAUAACCAAAUAUAUGAACUUACUCCCACUGAUCUCGAGGUAUAUACAUGGAUCUCCAAAUAUUUUCUUUGAAACCAAAUUUCCUAAUGGUUUCAUCAAAUUUUAAUACCAUUUCUCAAGUUUUUUUUUCUUUUUUUCAGUUCAUAAAUUGCUUUCUUUAGUUUGUAAACCAUGUCUUCCUCUGAGCUUCGAUUAUGAAAUCUUCGGUUUGGCGCAUACAAACUUUCUGUAAGUCAGCAUUAAGAAAAAGGCAAUUCUUUCAUCGGUAAUGGAACUCAAGAUCGUACUGAGCUACCAAGGCCAUGAUAAUUCAUAUGGAGUCUUUUAUAGACUCAUGAGAAAAAGACUCAGUCUAAUCGAUGCCUUCUUUUCGAUUGAAACCAGGCUUUAUGUCGUUCAAUAUUUUCAUUAUAGUCGAGUUUGGUCUUUACAAAUCCACUUACACUCAAAUUGUUUAUGUUCUUAAACAUAAUUGAAAGUCGUCACAUACUUCAUUUUCAGUCAUCGAGUUUACUUCAUGGCAUCGAUUCAUUUAUCAAAAUUAAUAUCUUUUAUGGCUCUGAAUAAGAAACCAAAUCUUAAUAUUCAAUUCUUCAGAUUCAAUUUGAUAAAUUACCUAUUGGAAAUAACAAAUCUACUCAUACAAGUAGACAUUCUUAUGCUUUUUCCUCUUUACCUUCAUGUACUUGAUCAUUAUUGACAACAUUUUCAUUAUGGAGUAUAUGGUCAUUCAUUGUGUUUUACACAUUGUUAAACUUACAACAACAUGAGAAAUUUCCACCAUUCAUAAUUUAGGAUAACAUGUUACUUACCGUAAUUUCUUUAGUGACCACUUCUUUAACUUUAUGACUCCCACUAAUGUUACCAUUCUUAUAAAAUCUGACAUUAUCAGUUUCUAUAGCACGUACUAUGGUUUGGGCAAUUUAACUUAUAUUUUUUAGAUUUCUCAUUAUGAAAUCUAAUUUUUUUUCAUGAGGAUUAUAUAUUCUUGCUUAAUUGGACAUCGUUAUACUUUGAGAUGUCCCAUACUAGGUUAGCAGCCUUUAUGCAGUUCAAAAGAAGCCUUGAGAACUGCUUUGCUGGUAACCUUAUUCAAGAAAUAUACUGCAAUACAUAAUGCAUCUAUCCAUAAUGAUAUAAGUGAAUUUUCAUAAAUAAAACCAUUUACAUAAAAGUACGGUUAUGCUUUUCAGCUACACCAUUAUGCCAUGGAGAACCAGGCUGUAACUGAUAUAAUUCUUAAUUUUUGGAGAAAUUUGGCAAAACGUCCGAGACAUUGUCUCUUUUCAACAUACUUGCCAUAAAUUCAUUACCUUUAUAUGACCUUAUGAUUUUCACUUUUAUAUCUUAUUGCCUCUCAACUUUAAUUAUGAAUACUUGUAAUGUGUCCAAAAUUGAGAUUUUCAUGCAAUAUAUAUAUAUAUAUAACAAUAAUGUGAAUAAUCAUCAAUAAAGGUAAUUGAAUUUUCAUCUCUAAAAAUAUAAAACGUCAAAGGGUCUACAAAUAUUUGUAUGUAUAAUUUCAAGAAGCUUUGUAUUUCUUGUGGCUCAUUUCUUAGUGUCUUUAUUUUGCUUAUACUUAAUGAAAUUUAUACACAUUUCAUUGUUGGCAAAAUCAAGAUUCACAAUACUUUCAUCUUUUACCAACCUUGAAAUUCUUUUAGUAGAAAUAUAUUAACUUCUUUUAUGCCACAAGAGAUACUUAUCAUUAGUACAUAUUUUAUGCUUUAAUUUUCCUUUAAUGUGCAGAAUUAGAUGUGUUUUUAAAAUAUUGAUCGGCCAGUGUUACCUAAUAUUGGCCAUCAACUAAUAUUCUUGAACCGGAUCAAUUAGGGUUCAAGAAAAAAUUAAAACAACCAUCUCUUUAAGUCAAUUAAAAAAAACUCAGUCAUCAAGUUUUCUUAAUAAAACUAAAACUUAUGAAAAAUAUAUGGAACAUAUAAUGUUUGGAAUGAAUCCAAAAAAAAUCCAAUAUUCAUAAUGAGGAGUGCCAAUAGCUUCAACUAUCACUUCGCUCUAAUUCCCAUAAGUAUUUAGUUUACACUUGAAAUUACGGUUUUGAUCAUAAACAAAUUGUGCACGAAAUUAAUUACAUGUACAUUAGCACCAUUAUCUGUCCACCAAGUUUUAUAAGAAAUACAACAAGAAUAGAUUCAAAAAUCUUUAUGGAACUUAAAAGAUUAAAAUUCUUUUUCUAAUAAUUUUCUUCUUUUAUUGCAAUCUUUAGGAAAGUGUCAGACCUUUUCAUCUUUCUUUGCCUUUUUCUUCUCUUCUAUCUUACUUGAUAUUCAUUAUAGGUGAUGCUCUUUUAUGAUUUACAUAGGUCUAGCUUCGUAAACAUAAUAGACAACUUUAAUACCUUUACGUCUAAGCCUAGUCUUAAGAUCAUAAUUUUCAGUCUAUUCAAUUUCACCCAAGCUUUAUGGAAAUUCUUUUUGUCCUAAGUAAUAUCUACUAUUAGUGGAUUUGACACAUUGUUGAGGAGUGUCAAAUUCAAGUAUAGUACUCUUAAUAUGAAUUCAACUUUCUGUUUUCAUUCUGAGAAUUCGGUUCCGGUAAGGACUGGAAUAGACGAGACUUUAUAUGGCAAUCUUUUAGAAAAUUUAUAGUUUUGAGAUACACAAGUUUAAACAAGGCUUUUAAACAUAAUCAACACAUAUAUUUAUUGAAUACUAAUUAUGCCAAUAUAAAUUAAGGUGCUCCUGUGGGUAGCAACCAUAUUUUCAUCAAUAAUCAUAGUAUUCGAAAACAUUUAUGAAUGAUGUAUCGAAUUACUCAGAUUAAGUUAUCUGUGGAUAUACUUAAUCCACACAAUACAAACACUCUAUAAGUUACUUGAUCAUAUUUUCUGUAUAUAGUCUACCAAAUAUCAAAUACUUAUUUGAACAACAAUUUCCAUUUCACAAAUCAUUUUAAAAUAAAGUCAUUGUGGUGAUAUCUUUAUCCUAAUUUUGCUCUUUAUAUGAAAAUAUUGUUUUAUAAAAAUUAUGCAUAAAUUACCUAAUUUUAUUUCUAUAUGAUUUAUGUAUAGAAAAAUUUAUGCAUUGAUUUUCUCAAUUCAGAGAUCGAAAUAGAAUACAUACAUAUAAUAUAUGAUCCGCCCUUUAAGUAAAAAAAUUUAAAACUAUCUAAAAGAAAUGAGAUCACUCGGUCCAACAAUGCACCUAAUUCGAUCAUCAAAAGUGACCCUUUACUUAUAAAGUAAAAAAAAAUUCUAUAACAGUAAAAAAAAAAUCGAUGGUGAAAAUCAAGGUCUACCACGUAUAUUCGAAAAAGACGACUUCACACUCAAGAAAUCGUAAGGUAUAAAUCGUUUGCUCAUCUUUAAAUUGUUUUGGUUCAAUUACUCUUACAAAAUAAGAAAUGUUUUUUUUUUCUUUUUUUUGUUCACAGAACGUAAUAAAAAGAGUUUUCUUUCACAUAUCCUAACAUGUAUAUGAAGAGUUUCUUAAAUCUGAAAUAAUUUUAAAGGAACCGGAUUAAAAGUGAAACAAUACUACCACCGUAAAAGAGAAGUACUUUGAUACAAUUGUAAAAAAAAUUCAGUGUAUUACGCUUUACACUGAUAUAUUAUGUGACUUUAACAGAACUAUCUCUGUUUGCAUACCUCAUCCAAAUAUGAAAAAGGAAGCAAAAUGAUGGCUUUUCUCCUAAAAGAAAAACAAAAGGUGAUGCAUUAUUCACAGCCGAACUAUAUUAGUACUACUUUAGUAAUAGAACUGGUAGGAAUGGUACAGGUAAUGGCUACAACAUUCUUUACAGAAUUGUUAGGUCAAAAGGGUUGAAAAAUGUUUGUUUCAGAAGAGCGUCGACGGUGUCAUAUUUAUAAUAAGAAGAAGAAGAACUUCCGUGUGUUUAAGUAAAUCAAUAUUUAGGAAAUAACAGUAGCACAUUCUAAAAUAUGCUAAAUUUGAAACUUGAUAGAUUUUGUGAAUCAAAAUAUAGUUUGUAUUUCUGGAUUUGAUUUUGUAAAAUGGGGAUAUGUGGUGACCAUAAUUUGGAAAACCACAUUAAAUAUAUUUAUAUGGCACCCUCGUUUACAUUAAAUAAUAAUGAUUGUUGCCUAAACUAUUUUCAUGAAUUAACUAAUAGAUUGAAGAAUAACAAAACUGUCAUAUAUUUAGGAGUGUAUUUAGCAAUUGUUAUGUUUUCUUGUGUUAAAUGAUAUUGCUUGUUGACCAAGUUUGAAAAGGUAAUAUUUUAUUUAGCAAAAUGAUAUUGAUUUUACAUUUUUUUUUUUAUUUUUAUUAUCAAAGUGAUUAUGAAAGCUAUUAAAACGGAAUUGGGUUAGAAGUAUACUUAGUAUAUAAUUGGAUCAAAUAUAUAUUGUAAACUUGAUGAAAAAAAAAAAAUAUAUAUUGUAAACUUCAAAAAUUACUAACUUGACAAAUAUUUCAUAAAUUGGAAACAGUUAUAAGCAUAAUAUAAAUUGGAGACAGUAAUAAGCUUAAUAUUCUGUGUAUAAUCAUAUUUUCAAUUCUUUUAGCUUUCGUUAUGUGUAUAAAUAUAUAAUCAUAUGUUAAAUUAUUUUACACUUAGUUAAAUUAAAAGGUUUAGGGUUUGUAUAGUUUAUGGCUUUUAAAUAAAUUCUUAUGCUCGUAUUAAAUAAGUUUUUUUUGUCAGUAACAUGAACAGACUCAUAUAGAUUCUGCAAACCACACUGUUAGCUCUGCAUCCAUAUGAACGACAGAUGACGGUUAUUUCCUUGCACUGCGUGCGAGACUGUCUGCCUUUGAGUUAUGUGUUCGUGGUAUAUGAAUGAUCUCUGAGCUGUUGAAACUUCUCUUCAAAAGUGUAAUGUCGUCCAGAUAGCUUGUAAAGGCGGGCCACUCCUGUGGUUCCGAAACCAUCUUCACCAAUAGAGCACAAUCCGUUGCAAAAGUAACCCGGAACUAU